CGGUGCCGCAGCAAACGCAUUAAGUAUUCCGCCUGGGGAGUACGGUCGCAAGAUUAAAACUCAAAGGAAUUGACGGGGACCCGCACAAGCAGCGGAGCAUGUGGUUUAAUUCGAAGCAACGCGAAGAACCUUACCUAGACUUGACAUCUCCUGAAUUACUCUUAAUCGAGGAAGUCCCUUCGGGGACAGGAAGACAGGUGGUGCAUGGUUGUCGUCAGCUCGUGUCGUGAGAUGUUGGGUUAAGUCCCGCAACGAGCGCAACCCUUAUUGUUAGUUGCUACUAUUAAGUUAAGCACUCUAACGAGACUGCCGCGGUUAACGUGGAGGAAGGUGGGGAUGACGUCAAAUCAUCAUGCCCCUUAUGUCUAGGGCUACACACGUGCUACAAUGGCUGGUACAACGAGCAGCAAACCCGCGAGGGGGAGCAAAACUUGAAAGCCAGUCCCAGUUCGGAUUGUAGGCUGAAACUCGCCUACAUGAAGUUGGAGUUGCUAGUAAUCGCGAAUCAGCAUGUCGCGGUGAAUACGUUCCCGGGUCUUGUACACACCGCCCGUCACACCAUGAGAGCCGGUAACACCCGAAGCCCGUGAGGUAACCGUAAGGAGCCAGCGGUCGAAGGUGGGAUUGGUGAUUGGGGUGAAG
rnacentral:rRNA from 1 species